rnacentral:rRNA from 1 species
GACGAACGCUGGCGGCGUGCUUAACACAUGCAAGUCGAACGGAAAGGCCCUGCUUUUGUGGGGUGCUCGAGUGGCGAACGGGUGAGUAACACGUGAGUAACCUGCCCUUGACUUUGGGAUAACUUCAGGAAACUGGGGCUAAUACCGGAUAGGAGCUCCUGCUGCAUGGUGGGGGUUGGAAAGUUUCGGCGAUUGGGGAUGGACUCGCGGCUUAUCAGCUUGUUGGUGGGGUAGUGGCUUACCAAGGCUUUGACGGGUAGCCGGCCUGAGAGGGUGACCGGCCACAUUGGGACUGAGAUACGGCCCAGACUCCUACGGGAGGCAGCAGUGGUGAAUAUUGCACAAUGGGCGGAAGCCUGAAGCAGCAACGCCGCGUGCGGGAUGACGGCCUUCGGGUUGUAAACCGCUUUCGCCUGUGACGAAGCGUGAGUAACGGUAAUGGGUAAAGAAGCACCGGCUAACUACGUG